UAUGUGAUCGUCUCUCGCAUAUCAAUAAGCGGAGGAAAAGAAACUAACAAGGAUUCCCUAGUAACGGCGAGUGAAGCGGGAAGAGCUCAAAUUUGAAAUCUUAAAGGUUUCCCUUGACGAAUUGUAGUUUAAAGAAGUGUUUUCUGUUAGUGGAGUUGGUAAAAGUUCUUUGGAAUAGGACAUCAUAGAGGGUGAGAAUCCCGUAUUUGAUCCUUACUUCUAACUUUGUGAUACACUUUCAAAGAGUCGGAUUGUUUGGGAAUGCAGUCCAAAAUGGGUGGUAAAUUUCAUCUAAAGCUAAAUAUUGGCGAGAGACCGAUAGCGAACAAGUACCGUGAGGGAAAGAUGAAAAGAACUUUGAAGAGAGAGUUAAACAGUACGUGAAAUUGUCAAAAGGGAAGCGUUUGACACCAGUGUUGUUUUUCUGAAAAUCAAUUAAAGAACUGUUUAUGCUAAGCUGUUUAGACUUUAUCAGCUAUCUGUUUAGUUUUGAGCUUUUCUUUAAUGCACUUUUCAGUUAACAAGUCAACAUCAAUUUCUUUUGCUGUAAAAAAGCUUGAGGAAGGUGGCUUGAGAUUCGUCUUAAGUGUUUAUAGCCUCUUGCCUAUGCAGUCGGAGAGAUUGAGGUCUGCAGCGUAGAUCCUUCGGGGCUAAACGCAUUUGUGCUAAGUUAUAGCAUUUCAUAGACAACUUGUUGACUAUGAUUUGUCUUGUAGCUUACUCGCUUAUGUUAUUUUACCUACGCUUAGGAUGUUGAAUCUGUGCGAGACUAC
rnacentral:rRNA from 1 species